rnacentral:tRNA from 1 species
UACAUCGGCUGGGAAUCGAACCCGGGCCGCCCGCGUGGCAGGCAAGCAUUCUACCACUGAACCACCGAUGC